rnacentral:tRNA from 2 species
GCGAGGGUGGUGGAACUGGUAGACACGCAAGCUUGAGGUGCUUGUGGGAGCGAUUCCGUAGGGGUUCAAGUCCCCUCUCUCGCA